rnacentral:rRNA from 1 species
GACGAACGCCGGCGGCGUGCUUAACACAUGCCAGUCGAACGGAAAGGCCCUGCUUUUGUGGGGUGCUCGAGUGGCGAACGGGUGAGUAACACGUGAGUAACCUGCCCUUGACUUUGGGAUAACUUCAGGAAACUGGGGCUAAUACCGGAUAGGAGCUCCUGCUGCAUGGUGGGGGUUGGAAAGUUUCGGCGGUUGGGGAUGGACUCGCGGCUUAUCAGCUUGUUGGUGGGGUAGUGGCUUACCAAGGCUUUGACGGGUAGCCGGCCUGAGGGGGUGACCGGCCACAUUGGGACUGAGAUACGGCCCAGACUCCUACGGGAGGCAGCAGUGGGGAAUAUUGCACAAUGGGCGGAAGCCUGAUGCAGCAACGCCGCGUGCGGGAUGACGGCCUUCGGGUUGUAAACCGCUUUCGCCUGUGACGAAGCGUGAGUGACGGUAAUGGGUAAAGAAGCACCGGCUAACUACGUG